CGGGCCGCCCGCCAGCCCCGCGCUCCAGCGGGCAGAGCGCGUGCGGCCGCCGAGCACAUGGGCCCGCGGGCCGGGCGGGCUCGGGGCGGCCUGGACCCGGACGGGCGGCGAGGGGCCGCGCGCGGGGACGGGCCCCGCCACCCCCCGGGCCCCCCGAGCGGAUUUCCACGCCGAGAGGAUGUUGGCAGCGCCGGCGACCUGCCGAGACGCGGCGGGAUCCACCUUCCACCCUGAUCUUUGGACCAGAAAGGAAUUAAAAAGAUGCCCCUCACGAUGGCCGUGCCUGUCGGUUACAUGGAGCUCCAUUCAAGGAUUUUCGGAGCCUUUUGGAUUUACAGUGAUAUUCAGCUGCCUGGGGAAUAAAGUUGGUGGAAGCUUUCUCUGGAGUUACGUACACCCGACGCCUGUCUGGAUGCUACUGGCGGUUUUAAGGAAGGCCCUGGCUGAGUGCCUGGCGGAUCCCUGCAGCCUGGAUGCCCGUGGGAGACGGAGGACCGCGGCUUCCUGUGAGGGCUGACGACUCUGUCUUUCUCUCCUCACGGAUGCCUGGUUGGGUCUCUGCCAGUCCCGCUGGGGGCUCCCUGUGACACAAUCCUGUCCAACCUGAGAUUUUGGUGCCUUCAAUCUGAAAAAAAUACGCAUCCCUCUGGUACUCUAGAGGAACUUGAGAACAGUCCUUCCCUGAACUAAAGCCAGACCAUUGUGGGAUUUGGAGACUAAAGGACCUGAAAUCUGCCAGCAUGUCUUGGAUGUCCAGCCACCAGGACCGGGAGAGAUGAAUGUCUGUCAUCUAAGCCACCUGCUGUGAGUGGCAUCCUGUGAGAGCAGGCUGAGCAGACCGGGACGCCGUAUUUCACAGAUGAGUGGACUGCAGACUCAGAGAGGUGGUGUUGGUGAGGCCUCCCUGCUGCCUGCUGCAUCUCAAGUUCGAACGUGCAUCUUCCGAAUCCGAAUCUGACCUGCAGCCUGUCUGGACUGUCUCUUUGCGGCCCCUCACCUCUGCAUCUGUGUGUCCGUGUGCCCCUCUCCCGCGAUUUUUCUCUGCCGCCUUCCUUUCCCCGUCUCCCAGAUUUUUCUUCUGAAGAUGAGGGUCUUUCUCUCCCCAGUGCCUCUUGGGGCAAAGGGAUGAGGGGAUCACGGGGCUGCUCUGUGGCUGCUGCCCGGGUGGAGGUCUCCCUCUCCGAGUCCCCCUCCCCAGCACCUGCUGUGGUGGCCCUGGCAGGAUACAGCCACUCCUCCCCGUCCUCCUACCCUGGUCCGCAUCCCCACCGUGAGCCGGGUGGUGCCCCAGCUCUGCGGAGACAACAGUGGAUAAACACACUGGGGGAGAUAGCAUUCAAACAACUGUAUUUGUGUAGUGUUAUGGACUAAAUGUCUGUACGCUCUCUACCCUACCCCCAGUGUGGCUGUUUUUGAGCACAGGGAGUAUGGAAGCUAACUCGAGGGUGAGGCCCUGGUCUGAUUGGCUUAGUGUCUUUCUAAGAAGAGAGGUGGCAGAGCUCGUGGGAGAGCCGCACCUCGUGUCUUGUGAGGACGUAGCAAGAGGGUGGCUGUCUGUCCGCGGAGAAGAGAGCUGUCACCAGAGACCGAAGGGGCCAGAACCUUGGCCUCAGACUUCUUGCCUCCAGAGCUGUGAGAAAAUAAAUGUCUGCUGUGCAAGCCACGUGGCCUCUGGAGUUUAGUUACGCAGCCCGAGCAGUCUAAGAUGCAUGGUGGACGCACGUCUUGGGCCACAGGCCACAGGCUGUAGGGAGGUUUGAUUGCCUUGGCCCCAAAGCUCCUCUUUACGUGUCGGGUCCUGGCCGGCAAUUUUGAACCUUCACAGUCCCAUCUUUAAAAUAAGGUGUCCGGUUGGUGUGCCUGGGUGGCUCAGUCCGUUAAGCGUGCGACUUCGGCUCAGGUCAUGAUCUCAUGGUUCAUGAGUUCGAGCCCCGCGUCGGGCUCUGUGCUGACAGGUUGGAGCCUGGAGCCCGCUUGGGAUUCCGUGUCUCCCUCUCCCUCCGCCCCUCCCCUGCUCGUGCUCUGUCUCUGUCUCUCUCUCUCUCAAAAAUAAGUAAACAUAAAAAAAUAUUUAAAUGAGGUGCCCAGUGGAGUGACCAUAAGAGCUAUUCUCUGUUCUGUCUGUCCUGGCGCAGGGUUUCCCUAAGCCCCGCCCCGCUGACAGUUCUCACUUUGUGUCUUUCUUGCUCACACAAGAUCCGCUCUUUACCGAACACUCCCGUGGUCAUGGCAUCAGGCGCCUGGGAGUCGAGGCAGCCCUGGAGUCCCGGUCUUGCUCUUUGUGACCCACGGGGCUGCCUCGCGUCUCAGAUCCGCUCCCCGUGUCGCAGGAGCUGCUCACGUCAGUCGCGUGUGCCUUCUCGCAGCCCGCCCGUCUGCUUCCUCCCGACGCGGCUGAGCACUGGGGGUCCUACUAGUUGCGAUUAGGCACCGCUAACAGGGUGCUGCUUUCAGGGGAGUAGUAGUGGUGUUGGGUGGGGCACGAACACCAAUAAUACAGUAGUAACGCACAUGUAUUAUUCAUAGCGUUCCCAACACUUUCCAUGUAUUAUCUCACUUUUCAGAACAUGUGAGGGGGUGGAGGUUCAGUAACACACCCUGGACGGCAAAUGAAGGCAUCUUCCCAUGGAAUGUGUGCGACGCACAGAUUAGUACUAUGUGCUUUUGCAUCAUUUCAAGCCCUUUUUAUUUUCUAACUUGAGGCUGAUAUCCAGGAGCUUUUACUAACGAGAGAACCAUUACCUGAAUCGAAGUAAGAGCUCCACCUCCUGGGUCGGUCCAUCCCAGUGGGUCUCUCGGUGCCUCUUACCCCGGACGGCCCCUGUUCCCUCCCGGAUGCUUCCCAGCUUGGGCACCAGAUUCUCUCCAGUGAGAAACCCUUCCUGCCCUGUUCCUCUGGGAUCCGGGUUUGUCCGGGGGACUGGCUCCGGUGGGUUUUCUCCUCGGUUUGUAAUGAAAUAAGUGACAGAGCCCCACAUGGCACACAGCUGUCUUGUGGCCUGGCUCCUCUGAGAUGCGGGUGGUUCCAGAAGCCCUGUGCUGCUGCAUUCUGGGUCCCUGUUGUCACUGAGUAAUGACCAGCCUACUGGGAAUUCUCAUUCUUCUGGUCCAGCCGUUUUUCCUCCAGUUGUGUCACUCUUGCAGAAUCGGUUGUAGCAGGUGCCUUUGGGAAGAAAACACCCAUCCAUGGGAUAGAUGCAAGCUGGCCUGCGGGGUUCCUUUUAUCCUCCUGCAAAGAUGAAACCUUUAUUAAAGUAGAGAAUUGAUCUGCUCUAGCUUCAGACAGCGUUCAGCCUCAAGGACUCAUAUGGCCAUUUUUCUGCUGUUGCGGAGCUGAGGCACCCUGGCUUCAAGCCUGUGGGAAAUGAGAUGCAUUAAGGAGAAGUUUCAUACAAAUAAAAAUACGAAGGGGUGCCUGGGUGGCUCAGUCAGUUGAACGGCCAACUUCGGCUCAGGUCAUGAUCUCACGGUCCUUGAGUUCGAGCCCCAUGUCAGGCUCUGUGCUGACAGCUCGGAGCCUGGAGCCUGUUUUGGAUUCUAUGUUCCACCCCUCUCUCUGUCCCUCCCCAACCCGCUCUCUCAAAAAUGAAUAAAUGUUAAAAAAAAAAAAAGUAAAAAAAGUAAUAAUAAGAGGAAAAAAGAUAAUUUAAGCGCCAUCCUCUCUGAUCUUGCUUCUUCCCUGGUGGACUGGGGGGCAAUUGAGACCGUAACUGGCCAUGUGGGGGAGGGGUAUGGGAAGGGUCCCAGGAAGGAGACGCGAGCCCUGGUCUCUGCUUCACCACUGGGAAGAAGGCUCUUGGAUGCUUCUGAGCCUCAGUUUCCUCCUCUGCAGAGUGAGCUGUUCUGAGGACCAAAUGACAUUGUUGCCUGGCUCCUCAAAGACACCUGAGAUGCUCCGUCCCCGGCCACUGAGCUGAAGGUUCGUUGGCCAUUCGCUACGGGCCUUCGGAACCCAAUGGUCUCCAGCGAUAAGUGAAAGCAGCGACUGGCUGGCUGCCAGAGUUCCUUCUAGGUUACACAGGCCACGUUCACACCAGUUCCCUUCCAGGCCGAUAACGUUUUCCAGAGUUGAAUGGGAACACUGUAAGACGGUCAUCACAGGAGCAGAAUGCAGGGAAAUAUUCCACAUGUCAUAAUUUGUUACCUAUACCCCCUGUGCGUCCACUCCCCCGUGCCUAUCCUUCACACACAUUUUUUUAACAGACUUUAUUUUUAGAACAGUUGUACGUUUUACCAGAAAAUUGUGACAGCCUUUCUGAAUGGUCUCAUAUACCCCACAGUCAGUUUUCCCUGGUAGGAACCUUUUACGUUACUGUGGCACAUUUGUUACGAUUAAUGACCAAUAUUGAUGCAUUAUAGUUAACUAUCAUUUAUACUUUUUAGAUUGCCUCAGUUUUUACCUGAUGCCCUUUUACUUCUAAGGAUUCCAUCCAGUAUACUAUACUACAUCUAGUUGCUAUGUUUCUUUAGGUUCCUCUUGGCUGUGACAGUUUCUCAGACGUCCCUUAUUUUUGAUGACCUUGACAGUUUUGAAGCGUACUGGCCAGGUACUUUGUAGAUUGUCCCUCAGCUAGGAUUCAUUCGCCUGAUGUUUUUCUCAGCAGUAGACUGGGAUAAUGGCUUUGGGAAGGAAGACCCCGGGGGCAGAGUGCUGUUUUCAUCACAUCAUUUCAAGGCUGUAUGCUACCACCUGAGUAAUCACUGUCGAUGUUAACCUUGACCACCAUUUGUCAGAUUUCUCCAUUGUAAAAUAUUCUCCCUCUCCCACCGUCCCCCCCACCCCCACGUGGACAGAUGUCACUAUAUAUAGCCCACACUUAGGGAGUGGGAGACUGUGCUACCUCUUGGUGGUGAUCUACAGCAACUGCUUGGAAUCCUUCUCCGUAGGAGAUCUGUCUCCCAGCCCCCACGUCUAUGUCUGUGUCUGUGUGUGUGUGUAUGUGUCUACAUACAUCAGUGUGGCGUCACAGAUGUGUAUUAUAUUUAUUGUAUACUUUGGAUUAUACUGCAGUAGGACUUCAUUCAUUGCGUUGCUCGUGUUUUUCCAGCCUUGGCCCCUGGGAGCCCUUCCGGUUGGCUGCCAUGACCUUUUGACAUACGCCCUCCACCAUUAGUUUCACACACCUCCCCUUAUCGUGGCAGUUUUUGUUUGUUUGCUUGUUUUUGAGCAUUUCCUUACUUUCUGGCCCUACUUCUGUAUUUCCUGCCCCAGACGUAGCAUCAGCCAUUUCCCCGAGGAAAUUUCCCCUGGUUUCUUUUGUCAGAGAAUGAGAUUAGAAACCAAGGCGCGGGUACUAGAUGUGCUCAUUGCUACCGAGGUGUCACUGCUCCUAGGCCUUCUCAGGGAUAGCGAUGAAAUACAUGUGUGUAGGGGCACCUGGGUGGUUCAGUCCAUUAAGUGUCCCACUCUUGAUUUCGGCUCAGGUCCUGAUCUCAUGGUUCGUGAGUUGAAACCCCACGUCGAGCUCUGUGCUGAUGGCAUUGAACCGGGUUUGGAUUUUCUCUCUCCCUCUCUCUCCCUCUCUCCCUCCCUCUCUCCCUCCCUCCCUCCCUCCUUCCCUCCUUCCCUCUCUCUCUCUGCCCCUCCUCUGCUCAUGCUCUCUCUCUCAAAAUAAAGAAAUAAAACUAGAAAAAAAAAUGUGUGUGUGUGUGUGUGUGUGUGUGUGUGUGUACUAACUCACAUAUACCCACAUGUGCAUAAAUAUUUGCAUGGGUAUCCUUAUGGAUCUAUAUGAAGCUAACUGAAUUCAUACUGAUGUCCCAGCUCUAACUCAUGCACUGUUGAACAGACUUAUUUUUUUUCAGCCACAUUGGUUGGCAGGGGUGGCGAUGAAUGGCGAGGUCCAAAAGUCCAUGUGGGCAGAAAGCCGUGGCUGAGAACACUGGAUUUUUCCCUGUGAGCAGUGUGGUCUCAUGAGCAGAAGUGAAGGUGAGCCAGACACAGUGGGACAGAGGCUCAGAAAUGUGUACUGCCCAGAAUGCUUGUAGACCAGGAAGCUAUCACAGGCACACUGGCCUUUGCAUAGCUCUUUCUGGGCCUGUGUGCCUUUCCUAGUCUCUUGGCCUUCUUGUCCUGCAGGAAGCUUUUUUCCAUGUCACCCCUACUGCUUGGCCUCUCUUUCCACACUCCUAAGCCCCCUGGCUUACCGCAUUAGAAUGUGCCCCCUCCCUCUCUCCCUUCCUUCCUUCCU